rnacentral:misc_RNA from 1 species
GGAAGGAUCAUUAACAAAUCAUGUUGGUGCCGCGCCAUCAUAUGAUGGUGGUGUGGCCCAUAUUAACCCGAGUCCGUGCAGCAAUGCCGGGCAAGGUGUGUGAGCUGUGAAAGGCUUACACGGUGAAGAUCAAUGUCUGAAAGGGUAACGAUCUGAUCCACAUAGACGCUUGUAUGUUUGACAGAGUUAGUUGACACUUGAAAAAUGACAACUUUUAACAAUGGAUCUCUUGGCUCUUGCAACGAUGAAGAACGCAGUGAAAUGCGAAACGUAAUGCGAUUUGCACGAACCUGUGAGUCAUCAAGUCUUUGAACGCAUCUUGCACCGUAUGAGCAAUUGUACGGUAUACCUGUUUGAGAAUCGUAAACCUCCUCACUUACACCCUGGUGGUGUAAGUGGAGUUGUCGGCUUAUGAGCAAUCAUAUCUGAUCAAAUGGAUUAGGUUUGGAUCAGGCUGGUGGCCUGAGACACUGUGUGCUAGAGACUAGCAGUCUUGAUUUUGAGACUGGUCCUGUCUUCUCACGGUGCGUCUCGGGUCAUUCAAAGCUGGCCUGCUAAGGACCUUAAUUGCGCAUAGCCCUUGUGGCUAUGGCAGCCCCCCCUCUUUGAUCUCAAAUCAGGUAAGGCUACCCGCUGAACUUAAGCAUAUCAGUAAGCGGAGGAAAAGAAACUAACAAGGAUUCCCCUAGUAACGGCGAGCGAAGCGGGAAGAGUUCAAAUUUAAAAUCUGAGUGGGUCUCCUACUCCGAAUUGUAAUUUAAAGAGGCGUUAUCUGGGCCUAGCCUGGUGCUCAAGUCCCUUGGAAUAGGGCGUCACAGAGGGUGAGAACCCCGUCUGGGCACUGGUAUGCUAGGUCCUCUAUGAGGCGCUUUCUACGAGUCGAGUUGUUUGGGAAUGCAGCUCAAAAUGGGUGGUAAAUUUCAUCUAAGACUAAAUACUGGCAAGAGACCGAUAGCGAACAAGUACCGUGAGGGAAAGAUGAAAAGCACCUUGAAAAGGGAGUUAAAUAGUGCGUGAAAUUGUUAAAAGGGAAACGAUUGAGACCAGUAUUGCUGCGGGCCGUUCAGCGUCACAUUGGGCAACCUGUGUGGCGUGCAUUCGGUCAGUAGCGAGUCAGCGUCAGUUUGGGCUUCCGGAGAGAGGUCAGAGGAAGGUGGGGUUUGUCCUUCGGGCAUACCUUUUAUAGACUCUGGCUGGCACGAGGAGCCUGGACUGAGGUGCGCGGCUGCAGUACUCACGGCUCGAGCCCGGCCCCCAUGGUCAAGGACUACACGUUAGACCUUGACCGCAAGGGCAGGAGGUAGGGCUGUGCAUGCAGUUCAAGGAUGCUGACGAAAUGGUCUUAAACGACCCGUCUUGAAACACGGACCAAGGAGUCUAACACAUGUGCGAGUAUUUGGGUGGCAAACCCGGGUGCGUAAUGAAAGUGAUCUGGGUGAGAGCCUUGCCUCCGUGCUUGGUGCAUCAUCGGCCGAACCUUGAUGUCUUCUGAUAGGUUUGAGUAAGAGCAUAUUUGUUGGGACCCGAAAGGUAGUGAACUAUGCCUGGAUAGGAUGAAGCCAGAGGAAACUCUGGUGGAGGUCCGUAGCCGUUCUGACGUGCAAAUCGAUGGUCAAAUCUGGGUAUAGGGGCGAAAGACUAAUCGAACUACCUAGUAGCUGGUUCCCUC